UGCCAGCCGCCGCGGUAACACCGGCGCCCCGAGUGGCAAUCGCGAUUAUUGGGCCUAAAGCGUCCGUAGCCGGACAGAUAAAUCCGCUGUGAAAUCGUCGCGCUCAACGUGACGGCAUGCAGUGGACACUGUCUGUCUCGAGACCGGGAGGAGUCAGAGGUAUGCCGUGGGGACUGGUAAAAUGGUAUAAUCCACGGUAGACCACCAAUGGCGAAGGCAUCUGACCAGAACGGAUCUGACGGUGAGGGACGAAAGCCAGGGGAGCAAACAGGAUUAGAUA
rnacentral:rRNA from 1 species